rnacentral:rRNA from 1 species
UACGUAGGGCGCAAGCGUUGUCCGGAAUUAUUGGGCGUAAAGAGCUCGUAGGUGGCUUGUCACGUCUGCCGUGAAAUCCUGUGGCUUAACUGCGGGUCUGCGGUGGAUACGGGCUGGCUAGAGGUAGGUAGGGGCAAGCGGAAUUCCUGGUGUAGCGGUGAAAUGCGCAGAUAUCAGGAGGAACACCGGUGGCGAAGGCGGCUGCUGGGCCUUACCUGACGCUGAGGAGCGAAAGCGUGGGGAGCGAACAGG